CCUACGGGAGGCUGCAGUGAGGAAUAUUGGUCCAUGGGAGAGAUCCUGAACCAGCCAAGCCGCGUGAGGGAAGACGGCCCUAUGGGUUGUAAACCUCUUUUGUCGGAGAACAAAACCCGGGACGUGUCCCGGACUGCGUGUAUCCGAAGAAACAGCCUCGGCUAACUCCGUGCCAGCAGCCGCGGUAAUCCGGAGGAUGCGGGCGUUAUCCGGAUUUAUUGGGUUUAAGGGGUGCGUAGGCGGUCCGUUAAGUCAGCGGUAAAAUUGCGGGGCUAAACCCCGUCGAGCCGUGGAAACUGGCAGACUGGAGUGGGCGAGAAGUACGCGGAAUGCGCGGGGUAGCGGUGAAAUGCAUAGAUAUCGCGCAGAACUCCGAUUGCGAAGGCAGCGUACCGGCGCCAGACUGACGCUGAGGCACGAAAGCGUGGGGAUCGAACAGGAUUAGAUACCCUGGUAGUC
rnacentral:rRNA from 1 species